CCUACGGGUGGCAGCAGUGGGGGAUAUUGGGCAAUGGGCGCAAGCCUGACCCAGCAACGCCGCGUGAGGGAAGAAGGCUUUCGGGUUGUAAACUUCUGUUCUGAGGGACGAAGAAAGUGACGGUACCUCAGGAAUAAGCCACGGCUAACUACGUGCCAGCAGCGGCGGUAAUACGUAGGUAGCAAGCGUUAUCCGGAUUUAUUGGGUGUAAAGGGCGUGUAGGCGGGAAAGCAAGCCAGAUGUGAAAACUCAGGGCUCAACCCUGAGCCUGCAUUUGAAACUGUUUUUCUUGAGUGCUGGAGAGGCAAUCGGAAUUCCGUGUGUAGCGGUGAAAUGCGUAGAUAUACGGAGGAACACCAGUGGCGAAGGCGGAUUGCUGGACAGUAACUGACGUUGAGGCGCGAAAGCGUGGGGAGCAAACAGGAUUAGAUACCCUUGUAGUC
rnacentral:rRNA from 1 species